rnacentral:rRNA from 1 species
GAUGAGCGCUGGCGGCGUGCCUAAUACAUGCAAGUCGAGCGAACAGACGAGGAGCUUGCUCCUCUGACGUUAGCGGCGGACGGGUGAGUAACACGUGGAUAACCUACCUAUAAGACUUGGAUAACUUCGGGAAACCGGAGCUAAUACCGGAUAAUAUAUUGAACCGCAUGGUUCAAUAGUGAAAGACGGUUUUGCUGUCACUUAUAGAUUGAUCCGCGCCGCAUUAGCUAGUUGGUAAGGUAACGGCUUACCAAGGCAACGAUGCGUAGCCGACCUGAGAGGGUGAUCGGCCACACUGGAACUGAGACACGGUCCAGACUCCUACGGGAGGCAGCAGUAGGGAAUCUUCCGCAAAGGGCGAAAGCCUGACGGAGCGACGCCGCGUGAGUGAUGAAGGUCUUCGGAUCGUAAAACUCUGUUAUUAGGGAAGAACAAAUGUGUAAGUAACUAUGCACGUCUUGACGGUACCUAAUCAGAAAGCCACGGCUAACUACGUG